GGAACAUGAAUGUGAUAAUUUGAACAACAAACAAAAGAACAGAGAAAGGUGUGUGAUUAUGGGGAAGAGGUUGAUGUGUUUCGGUCUUGUUCUCAUCUGCCUUGUAUCCAUUUCUGAGUCAGCUGUUCCAUCAAAGACUUGCCGAGAUAGUUUUCAUUCAUCGGGAGUAUGUAUGGGAUGGAUUGGACUGUCAGAAUGCUACAGUGAAUCAAUGGCAAGGCAUGGGGAUAUCCCACCCAGGAGUUGCGAAUGCAUUCCAACGGGUGAGCAGUCUCGCAUUUGCCGCUGUGAUCUUUUCUGUACCUAAAUCUUCAAUGCAAUGCUGCCCCAACCCUGCCUUCAAUCUGCUUUUGUUUUGGAAUCAUAUCAUCUUGCUGUUCUUGUUAUGAGUGAGUACUUUUGUUUCGGUAGCAGAAAAUUUCAAUAAAAUGUUGUUUGUGAGAUUAUUUUAAAA